rnacentral:rRNA from 1 species
GACGGAGCAACGCCGCGUGAGUGAUGAAGGUUUUCGGAUCGUAAAACUCUGUUGUUAGGGAAGAACAAGUACCGUUCGAAUAGGGCGGCACCUUGACGGUACCUAACCAGAAAGCCACGGCUAACUACGUGCCAGCAGCCGCGGUAAUACGUAGGUGGCAAGCGUUGUCCGGAAUUAUUGGGCGUAAAGCGCGCGCAGGCGGUUUCUUAAGUCUGAUGUGAAAGCCCCCGGCUCAACCGGGGAGGGUCAUUGGAAACUGGGGAACUUGAGUGCAGAAGAGGAGAGUGGAAUUCCACGUGUAGCGGUGAAAUGCGUAGAGAUGUGGAGGAACACCAGUGGCGAAGGCGACUCUCUGGUCUGUAACUGACGCUGAGGCGCGAAAGCGUGGGGAGCGAACAGGAUUAGAUACCCUGGUAGUCCACGCCGUAAACGAUGAGUGCUAAGUGUUAGAGGGUUUCCGCCCUUUAGUGCUGCAGCAAACGCAUUAAGCACUCCGCCUGGGGAGUACGGUCGCAAGACUGAAACUCAAAGGAAUUGACGGGGGCCCGCACAAGCGGUGGAGCAUGUGGUUUAAUUCGAAGCAACGCGAAGAACCUUACCAGGUCUUGACAUCCUCUGACAACCCUAGAGAUAGGGCUUCCCCUUCGGGGGCAGAGUGACAGGUGGUGCAUGGUUGUCGUCAGCUCGUGUCGUGAGAUGUUGGGUUAAGUCCCGCAACGAGCGCAACCCUUGAUCUUAGUUGCCAGCAUUCAGUUGGGCACUCUAAGGUGACUGCCGGUGACAAACCGGAGGAAGGUGGGGAUGACGUCAAAUCAUCAUGCCCCUUAUGACCUGGGCUACACACGUGCUACAAUGGGCAGAACAAAGGGCAGCGAAGCCGCGAGGCUAAGCCAAUCCCACAAAUCUGUUCUCAGUUCGGAUCGCAGUCUGCAACUCGACUGCGUGAAGCUGGAAUCGCUAGUAAUCGCGGAUCAGCAUGCCGCGGAUGAAUACGUUCCCGGGACCUUGGUACACACCGCCCGUCACACCCACGAGAGUUGUACACCCGCAGGUCGGUGAAGGUUAACCCUU